CGUACCUGUCCAACGAUAAGUUAGAAAAUUGAUGAAAACUUUAAGUCUUUUGACUUCGAGUUCUUUUGCCACUUUGAGUCCAGCAGUGAGUGCUUCAUAUUCUGCCCUAGUUUUUGAGGUAUUGAAGUUGAAUCUCAAAGCAUGUUCGGUGACAAUACCUUCUAGACUGGCAAGAAUUAUACCAGUUUCAUUUUCUUUUGAAUUUAAUGCUCUAUUAACAUGUAACACCCAAUUAAAAUCUUCAACAAUCUCCUCUGGGCUUUUUGAGGCC
rnacentral:lncRNA from 1 species